GACCUAAUGUUAUUUUGGCCAUAGGUUGACUAGUGUCAAAGUCGAUAUUUCUUGUUCUUCCUUUCUUACCUUUUCUAAUUUAUUAAUUUUUUUGAGCUAUCUUCUUUUGAGACAUAAAGAUCAUCAUAAGCUGCAUACUUCAGUUUGUGUGUCCACUUACCUAUAAGUUUCAUUUCUUUUACAUGUUUGUGUGAUUCCAUUCCUUUUGAGCUGAUGUAGCAUAUGCUCCCCUAAUGUAGUGUUUUCUUUGCCCAUUUAUUGGUUUUGAACCAAAACUUUACGAACUUUAGAGGCUGGAGAUGAGAAUGUAGUUACAUGUAUAUCCUUUGUGUAUUUGAUUUACCAAGCUAAUUGACAAAAUGGAAUUACUGUAGAAAAUGGGAUCUCUCAUGCAAUAAUCCUUAUCUAAAUGUACUGUCUUCUCUGAUGUCACAGAAGAUGAGAUAGAAUGUGCCUA
rnacentral:lncRNA from 1 species